rnacentral:lncRNA from 1 species
ACUAAGUUUAAAGAGAGAUAGAAUAAGAAAGAAUAGAGUAUAAAGCAAAUAAGCUAAAUGGAAUUGUCUUUUCCCUGUUAAGACAUCACCACUCCUUGUUGCACUCUCCUUUCCAAUUCAGUACCCUCAUUCUCUCUUUUCUCCUCAUGGUUCCUUCCUUGUUCAGCAAUAUUACUGAACCCCUUAUCUCUUAUUAUAACUUCAUGUAGUUCGGGUAUUAAAGCAAAGGAAGGAUUAAUAAAGGGAUACAAUUGAGCAACAAGGUAACCCAAUUUUCAUGUUCUAUAACUUGUAAUUAUGAAAUUAGCUAACAGUAAAGUAAAAUUGGUAACUUGAUUUGGGUUAAUUAGUUUUGAAUUAUAUAAUUAAUUCCUAGUGACUGUAAUUCGUAUGUGAUAACUUGGAUAAGUAAUAGUUGUUGUUAUAUGAAUUAGAAAAAAAAGAAAAAGGGUUUAGUAGUUGUUGUGCAGAGAAUUAAGGUUGGAGGAUUUCCAUGGUGAAAUCCUAGCCAAACUAUAAACAAAUGGCUAUGAAAAUCUGAAAAUUAAGAGAUGCACACUAACUGUUUAAUAAAAUGCCCAAAUAAGGUUUCCAAGCUUAAAAACGAAUAAUUACUUGAAGCUUGGAACUAGAAGACAUUUGAAUAGGUGGUAUGAGGUUUCCUAAGUCCAUUAGUGGAACCAAAACAAGUUUGAAAAGCAAUGGAAUGAAAUUAAAUCAAAUGAAAUUUCCUUAAAAAGGGUACGAACACUGAGUUUUGAGCUUUUAAUUAGGUGUCUUAAUAAUGUUGUUAGAGACCAAACUUGGAUGAAAAAUGUACCUUAUAACAAGGUCUCGAAUUAGGAACAAAUUUUAAGUCAUUUGAACUUGUAUAGCAAAAGUUACGCUAACCGUUAGGAGGCAUGAAGAAACAAAAUCCGAAAAGUUAGUUGACUGCUGACCCUAAAAGAAAAAUUCGGGGAUAUCUAGAUUGUUCAGAAAAUUCUGUUCUUUUGGUAUGUUAUAGUACACUGAAUAAGCUUUCCGUAAACUCCGAAACGGACUAAUUUCGACUUCGGAGCAAAGAGUUAUGACCGUUCAAAAUAGUCGCGUCAAAACUGUCUAACCAACUCGGGGUAGUCACCUUGCACGAGUUUUCUGGAAUUCUGUGUUUUAAAUUUGGAAAUGGUCAAAGAAUAAAAGUUGUAGCCUCGGAAGUUAGCUUCGCGCGGGCUCAAGAAUCGCUCAAAAAUGUUUUGAAACGAAAAAGUUAUGACUGUUUUAGCGAGAGAGGGUAGUGCUGAAACGGAAGUGAAAACUGUUACGAACGUCCAUUUCGGAUGCGUUAUUUGAACCAUCCAUCGAACCCAAAAUAGUUGGCUAUAUUUUUCUAAAAAUAGUCUCAUAUACCAAGUAUGUCAUAUUCGAAAAUCAACACAAUAUAAUGUGUGAGCUAGAAGUAAUAAGGUAGCGAAAUAAGCAUGUUGGAACAGGGCUGCUGCCCACGGCAGCAGCAGUGGCUGUGUUUGGCGAUGGCUGGGGGCUUUUUUGGGCUCUCAGUCAACCCAUUUAAAUUACUUGGAUUGUUCAACUAACAUUCUUCCAUAAUAGGUGACUGUAUCACCUAUAGAAUAUUCAAAAAUUAAGCGUAAUCGGAUUAAUAAAUUGUAAGCUAUCAUCUAUUUAUAGAAUUUAUGAAAAAUUGAAGAACAUAAUGUUGGGAAUUGUUGUUAUUGCUAAAUUACACAAGAAUGGACUAAGGAGAAGAAUUAGCUUGAUUAAUAUUGGUAAUUAAGGCUAUGGGUAAUUGUUAUAAGUGCGAGAAUUUCUGUAUUGCAUAAUGGUUGCAUUAAAAUCAAGAAACUAAGAAAUGACAAGGUUAACUUUGAAGUUCGUAAACUAACUUAUGUAAAUAUGUAUACAUGUAUGGUUUAUAUUGUGAAUUGGUCCUUAUGGACUAAAUUAGAGCUUUGGCGUAUAGUUUUUGUUGUGCGGAGCAAUAAGGUUGGCAAAAAUGGUUUGAUUAUGUAACCCAAACUUAUAGAAAUCAGUCCACAAAAAGGAUGCACGCGCGAUGUUCGUUGAAAUGCUCAAAAGGGCCAUUUUGGCUAAAAUUACAUAAUUUAAUGAAGCCGAUACUUUAGACGAGUCUUAUUAUAUUAAAUAAGACUUAUCUGUAAAGCAAGUUGGGUUGGAACGCGUCGAUGCGAGUUUUGACCUCUAAACGCGAAAAUUGAAAAUUUGUGACCAUAAAGAGUAAGAAUGAUUAAAAACUUGGAAUUUUACGAAGCCGAGACUUUGGACUCGUCUUAAUAUGUUAAACAAGACUUAGUUGUGAAGCAAAACGAGUCGGAGCGAACCACGACGAGUUUUGGCUUGUGAACGUAAAGUCUAAAAAAUAGCCUCUACAGCCUUUUUCGGCACACUGUUUGGUCAGUUUAGAAAACUUAAAUUGCUGAGGUUAUAUUUUUAAAAAAAAACUUUGAUAUGCCAUGUAUAACAUAUCCAAAAAUAGGAUCAGUCCGAUAAACGAGCAAGGCGUGUGAAACUCGCAAAAAGGGGCAGCAGCAGCAUGAGCAGCAGUAGCAGGCCAGCGCGCGAACGCCGUGCGGCUGGGCAACUGUCUGACAUGCUUUUUGCUCGCUGUUUUGAUUGGCUUUCGUGGUUCCUUUUCGCGGUUAGAAAUUUUUAAAAAAAUACUAUGACAUAAGAGCUCCAACAUACCAAGAAUUUGUUGCGAUUCGAGUUAUGGUUUGAGAAUUAAAAAUAGGUAAAAAGGCAUGUCAGAACUAACAUUUGAGCAACGUCGAGUGUCGACACGCCGGGCUGUUUUGACAUUCGUCGUUCCGAAUCGCGUUCGGGCGAGAUUUUAAGCAAUGUUAAGUCUAAUAAAGUCCCAAUAUGAGAGUUUUGAUGUUUUUGAUAAAUUUAUGCCACGAAAAUUUAUUCCGAGCAUAAAUAAUGCAAUAAAAAUAUUAUAAAAAUAUGAAAUUUCAUUUUUAAGCAAACGGAAGCCGGUGAUGGUAUGAAAAAUGGUUUUAUAACGAAACAAAAAGUAUGGAACCAUUAAAAAGUUGUAAUAAUCAUAAAAGUGAUGCAAUGAAGAUUUGCAGGGAACAAAAUGGAGUUUUUGAGCCAAGAUUUAUAUAUACUUAAUAUAUGAAUAUAUAUAGUGAAAAUGUGAAUAUUUGCAAAACGAAAAAUGCAGUAAGUGGGUUAGCGGGAUAUAAUGUUUAUAAAUGAGACAAUGGUUCGAGUUGACUCAGGUGUGGGCAAAAUAAUAAUAUAAAAAUUAUUUAUAUUAAAGGAAAAAUAUAGGAAAUUGAAUUUUACUAUAAAAGCUAUUUAUUAGCUGUUUAAGUUCCGAAUUAAUGGGUAAAGGCAUAAGAUAUUCCUAAAGUAGAAUAUAAAUGAUUGAAGCUUCAAAAUGUAAAAUAUUUACAUACUAAAAUGUGAGGGACCUUUAUUUGGUAUAAAAAGGUUGAAACGAAUUAAGUUUCUAAAUAAACUAAUAUUCGUUUUGAGUAAGAAUAAAUAAUAUUAGUUUGUAUAAAACUAAUAAUUAUUAUUGAUGAAUAUACAUGCAUGUUUUGUAACAUAUUCAAUUAUCUAAUAUGUGUGUACAUGUAAAUAUAAUUCUGUAGGAAUUGUGGAGAAACUCUAGGCUAACUUUUGUGGUAAUCUCCAAUUAAGGCAAGUUUUUCAGUUCUAUUAUGUUUGUGGAUUGAAUGUGACUAUGUGGUGAGUUAUAUACCAUGCUUUAUGAAUUGUUACAGUCAAAAUAUGACUAAGUUAAUUGGGUUAUGGAACUCAAUUUAUAUGUGAUAACACAUGUUGUAUAAUGUAACUCGAUAAAUUAGAAAUGUAUAAUGCAUGAAUGUAUAUUUUGUAAGAAAUUAUUGAUGUAUGCGAAUAUGCGUAGUAAAGGAAAUAUAGUGCAUAUGGAAUUGUGUUCUAUGUGAAACAUGAUAGACUGUUAAAUUUGCUGAGCUAUCGAGCUCAAUCUUGCAAACACAAACUUUUUGCAGGUUAAUGAUGUUGAGCGAUAUUACUUGCUAUACGGAUGAUGAAGAUUGAACGAUGUGCAAAAAUGAAUACAUUUCUUUGAAUUAGAAAUGGUAUAAAGCUAUGAUUGAUAGUUUUGCUAAAUGUAAUUGACAGUUAUGUAUAGUUUGAAAUGUUGAAUAAAUAAAGAAUGUUUAUUCUGAAAUGAAAAUAGAUAUGAUUCUGAAAUAAAUGAAUCAUCGAUAGAAAGCUAUGAAGUAUUGAGACUUAAUCUUUUAAUACGUUUACUCAG